AGCGAGACCUUCGGGUCUAGCGGCGGACGGGUGAGUAACGCGUGGGAACGUGCCCUUCUCUACGGAAUAGCCCCGGGAAACUGGGAGUAAUACCGUAUACGCCCUUUGGGGGAAAGAUUUAUCGGAGAAGGAUCGGCCCGCGUUGGAUUAGGUAGUUGGUGGGGUAAUGGCCCACCAAGCCGACGAUCCAUAGCUGGUUUGAGAGGAUGAUCAGCCACACUGGGACUGAGACACGGCCCAGACUCCUACGGGAGGCAGCAGUGGGGAAUCUUAGACAAUGGGGGCAACCCUGAUCUAGCCAUGCCGCGUGAGUGAUGAAGGCCUUAGGGUUGUAAAGCUCUUUCAGCUGGGAAGAUAAUGACGGUACCAGCAGAAGAAGCCCCGGCUAACUCCGUGCCAGCAGCCGCGGUAAUACGGAGGGGGCUAGCGUUGUUCGGAAUUACUGGGCGUAAAGCGCACGUAGGCGGACUGGAAAGUCAGAGGUGAAAUCCCAGGGCUCAACCUUGGAACUGCCUUUGAAACUAUCAGUCUGGAGUUCGAGAGAGGUGAGUGGAAUUCCGAGUGUAGAGGUGAAAUUCGUAGAUAUUCGGAGGAACACCAGUGGCGAAGGCGGCUCACUGGCUCGAUACUGACGCUGAGG
rnacentral:rRNA from 1 species